rnacentral:rRNA from 1 species
AUUUAACCAGAAAGCCACGGCUAACUACGUGCCAGCAGCCGCGGUAAUACGUAGGUGGCAAGCGUUGUCCGGAUUUAUUGGGCGUAAAGCGAGCGCAGGCGGUUUUUUAAGUCUGAUGUGAAAGCCUUCGGCUCAACCGAAGAAGUGCAUCGGAAACUGGGAAACUUGAGUGCAGAAGAGGACAGUGGAACUCCAUGUGUAGCGGUGAAAUGCGUAGAUAUAUGGAAGAACACCAGUGGCGAAGGCGGCUGUCUGGUCUGUAACUGACGCUGAGGCUCGAAAGUAUGGGUAGCAAACAGGAUUAGAUACCCUGGUAGUCCAUACCGUAAACGAUGAAUGCUAAGUGUUGGAGGGUUUCCGCCCUUCAGUGCUGCAGCUAACGCAUUAAGCAUUCCGCCUGGGGAGUACGGCCGCAAGGCUGAAACUCAAAGGAAUUGACGGGGGCCCGCACAAGCGGUGGAGCAUGUGGUUUAAUUCGAAGCUACGCGAAGAACCUUACCAGGUCUUGACAUACUAUGCAAAUCUAAGAGAUUAGACGUUCCCUUCGGGGACAUGGAUACAGGUGGUGCAUGGUUGUCGUCAGCUCGUGUCGUGAGAUGUUGGGUUAAGUCCCGCAACGAGCGCAACCCUUAUUAUCAGUUGCCAGCAUUAAGUUGGGCACUCUGGUGAGACUGCCGGUGACAAACCGGAGGAAGGUGGGGAUGACGUCAAAUCAUCAUGCCCCUUAUGACCUGGGCUACACACGUGCUACAAUGGAUGGUACAACGAGUUGCGAACUCGCGAGAGUAAGCUAAUCUCUUAAAGCCAUUCUCAGUUCGGAUUGUAGGCUGCAACUCGCCUACAUGAAGUCGGAAUCGCUAGUAAUCGCGGAUCAGCAUGCCGCGGUGAAUACGUUCCCGGGCCUUGUACACACCGCCCGUCACACCAUGAGAGUUUGUAACACCCAAAGUCGGUGGGGUAACCUUUUAGGAACCAGCCGCCUAAGGUGGGACAGAUGAUUAGGGUGAAGUCGUAACAAGGU